rnacentral:rRNA from 1 species
CCUACGGGUGGCAGCAGUGAGGAAUAUUGGUCAAUGGACGCGAGUCUGAACCAGCCAAGCCGCGUGCAGGAUGACUGCCCUAUGGGUUGUAAACUUCUUUUAUAAGGGAAUAAAACGAGGUACGUGUGCCUUUUUGCAUGUACCUUAUGAAUAAGGAUCGGCUAACUCCGUGCCAGCAGCCGCGGUAAUACGGAGGAUCCGAGCGUUAUCCGGAUUUAUUGGGUUUAAAGGGGGCGUAGACGGGUUGUUAAGUUAGUUGUGAAAGUUUGGGGCUCAACCGUCAAAUUGCAAGUGAUACUGGCAGACUUGAGGACAGAUGAGGUAGGCGGAAUGCGUGGUGUAGCGGUGAAAUGCGUAGAGAUCACGAAGAACACCGAUUGCGAAGGCAGCUUACUAAACUGUGACUGACGUUGAGGCUCGAAAGUGUGGGGAGCAAACAGGAUUAGAUACCCGUGUAGUC